UACGGAGGGGGCGAGCGUUGUUCGGAAUUAUUGGGCGUAAAGGGCGCGUAGGCGGCCGACCAAGUCGGGUGUGAAAUCCCUCGGCUCAACCGAGGAACUGCACUCGAUACUGGUUGGCUCGAGUCCGGGAGGGGAUGGUGGAAUUCCCAGUGUAGCGGUGAAAUGCGUAGAUAUUGGGAAGAACACCGGUGGCGAAGGCGACCAUCUGGACCGGAACUGACGCUGAGGCGCGAAAGCCAGGGGAGCGAAUGGG
rnacentral:rRNA from 1 species